rnacentral:rRNA from 1 species
UACGUAGGUGGCAAGCGUUGUCCGGAUUUACUGGGCGUAAAGAGCGCGCAGGCGGUCGUUCAAGUCGAGUGUGAAAGCCCCCGGCUCAACUGGGGAGGGUCAUUCGAUACUGAUCGACUCGAAGGCAGGAGAGGGUAGUGGAAUUCCCGGUGUAGUGGUGAAAUGCGUAGAUAUCGGGAGGAACACCAGUGGCGAAGGCGACUACCUGGCCUGUUUCUUGACGCUGAGGCGCGAAAGCUAGGGGAGCAAACGGGG